rnacentral:rRNA from 1 species
GACGAACGCUGGCGGCGUGCUUAACACAUGCAAGUCGAACGGUAAGGCCCUUCGGGGUACACGAGUGGCGAACGGGUGAGUAACACGUGGGUGAUCUGCCCUGCACUUCGGGAUAAGCCUGGGAAACUGGGUCUAAUACCGGAUAGGACUCCGGACUGCAUGGUCUGGGGUGGAAAGCUUUUUCGGUGUGGGAUGGGCCCGCGGCCUAUCAGCUUGUUGGUGGGGUGGUGGCCUACCAAGGCGACGACGGGUAGCCGGCCUGAGAGGGUGACCGGCCACACUGGGACUUCGAUACGGCCGAGACUGCGACGGGAGGCAGCAGUGGGGAAUAUUGCACAAUGGGCGCAAGCCUGAUGCAGCGACGCCGCGUGAGGGAUGACGGCCUUCGGGUUGUAAACCUCGUUCAGCACAGAAGAAGCGCAAGUGACGGUAUGUGCAGAAGAAGGACCGGCCAACUACGUGCCAGCCGCCGCGGUAA